rnacentral:rRNA from 1 species
UACGGAGGAUGCGAGCGUUAUCCGGAUUUAUUGGGUUUAAAGGGUGCGCAGGCGGAUUUUUAAGUCAGCGGUCAAAUCGUGGGGCUCAACCCCGGCGAGCCGUUGAAACUGGCUGUCUUGAGAUGUCGAGAGGUAUGCGGAAUGCGCAGUGUAGCGGUGAAAUGCAUAGAUAUCACGCAGAACCCCGAUUGCGAAGGCAGCAUACCGGCGCCCUACUGACGCUGAGGCACGAAAGUGCGGGUAUCGAACAGG